GUUUAUUAGCUUCUGGUAAUAUGUUGGCUAUAUAUUUAAAAAAUACAUGGUAUUAAAAGAGUUGGAGAGAGGAAUAUAUCUUUUUUGGUUGGUAGUUUAAAAAGAUUGAACAGAAUAGGUAUGGAAUUUAUUAGGUGAUUUAUAAUGAGUUAAUUUAUAUCUCUACUCCAGUAGUUAGAAUUGAUUAAUAAUAUAGAAAUAUAGAUUAAGUAAUUUAUAAAAGGGGAGAAAAAUAAAGUGCCAGCAUUCGCGGUCAGUCUUUAUACCUCAAGUUAAUAAUUUUGUAAAAGAGUGAGGUUAUAAAAUGAAGUAUUGGUUAGUUAUCUAUAGCGGUCAAAUGUAUAGUAGUUUUUAAAUCAAUAGUUACUUUAAAACUUAAUCUGUGAAGGCUGUUUAUAAAGACAAGGAUUUGAUACCCUUUUAUUUAUGCUGUCAAAUAAUUUACGGGGACUACGGGCUAUAAUUGCUUAAAACUUAAAGAAGUUGGCGGUGCUUUACAACCAUUAAGGGGAACUUGGCGAUUAAAUUGAUGAUCCUCAAAUUACUUUACCUUUAGUAGUCUUUAUAUACCGCCGUUGAGAGGUAAUUUUUAAAAAAAUAGAUAUGGGCAUAAUGUAUAUUUAAAUUGAUUUAUACAGGAAUUCAGGUACACGUAUAGGAUCUAAAGGGUUUAGCUGAGUUACAAUUAUAAAAUAAAACGGAUUUAUUAAUGAAAUAUUUAGUAGGAAGGUGUACUUAUUAGUAAAUUUUUAUAAGAGAGGAAAAUUGAAUAGGGUAAUUGAAGUGCGUACAAAUCGCCCGAUACCCUACGUAUUUAAAAUCGAGGUAAGUCGUAACAUAGUAAUGCUAGUAUAAAUUGGUAUUAU
rnacentral:rRNA from 1 species